UACGUAGGUGGCAAGCGUUGUCCGGAUUUAUUGGGCGUAAAGAGCGUGUAGGCGGCUUUACAGGUCCGUUGUGAAAACUCGAGGCUCAACCUCGAGACGCCGGUGGAAACCGUAAGGCUAGAGUCCGGAAGAGGAGAGUGGAAUUCCUGGUGUAGCGGUGAAAUGCGCAGAUAUCAGGAGGAACACCCGUGGCGAAAGCGGCUCUCUGGGACGGUACUGACGCUGAGACGCGAAAGCGUGGGGAGCGAACAGG
rnacentral:rRNA from 1 species